rnacentral:sRNA from 1 species
GAAAGGAAUGGCUGAGAGGCAGUUGGAGCAUGAGCACGAGGGCUGCUUCUGUUGCCGGGCACGGAGUGAGAACACACAAGGGUCCACAGAACAAGGUGUGUGGUGUGGUAACUACGGCUUAGGGGACCACGCGGAGAGGGCAGCUAAAAGGGAGAGGGCAGCUUGCGGACCAUGUGGCAAAGUAGCAGCCAGAGUGAGCAGAUCCGGCUAGAGGAAUCGGAUAGAAAACAUUUCUUUUUAAUCUUACUUACUGUCACACACAUGGAUGUCAGCUCUCGCUGGAAGUUGAGCGGAAGCUGUGCUGACUCCUUCUUGCCGCAGUAGGUUCAAGUCCAGAGAGUGGCCAAGACACUGUUGGUUCCCUUGAACGUCACUGCUCUCCCAUAGCUUUCUGCUAGGAGGGCAAAAUACCCGAGAUAACCAACUUCAAAAGAGGAACAGCUCACUUCUCUGCAGGUUUCAGCCUGCGGUAGUGCUAUUAAAGGGCCCAGCUGUUAAAGCCAGCACCUCAGUGAUGUCAUCCGCGCAUGGCCAAGCCUUCAGCACAGCAGACUUGGAAAGGGUCGAUGACCUAAACCACGGAGCCAUUCACAACAGCUCGCCAUGUCUUCUGUGUUUGGCUAUUAAGGUGUCUGCUUGCUCCCUCAGACCUUAGCGAAGACGAGUUCUUAAAACGUGGAACCAUGGAAGACCUGGGCUUACAUUUUUUCCCCCACAUUAAAGAAAGCUUACUUGUUAGCA